AUUCGGAAUGCAUUCCCCAAAACGUUGGAUACCUAAUCCGCAUCGCGUUUCUGCGGAUUCGGUCAUAGCCAUUGUUCGUGAUUGAAUCAGGAGACAUUUACUGAGAGUUUUAUAGUUUUGUGACAGAGAAAAGGAUGUUUACUUUUUAGUGGAAGCUUCUGUUGGAAAACAUUUGAAAGGGAUGUUUUGCCCAAUCAUGCAUGAAUACUUCUGGAAACAACUCCUGAAGAUCACUUUUUUCAUGCAAACAGGGGCCACUGACCCUGUGAUGCUCAACAAUGGAAUUGAACUUCCAUCAAGGAUAUGUUGGUCUGCUUCUAUUCUAUGUCUUUCUACAUGGCUUUGUUCCAGAAAUUAGACUCCAUGGAAGAGAUUAUUCAUGACAACUAUACCAAAACUGAGAAAGAUUACAGAUAUUCAGCAUCAAUUUGCAUCCAUAUCCAUCUGGUGCAUUGGUUGAGGUGAUCUGGUGCUGCCUUUUCCUCUCUGUUCAGGUCCUCCACGACGACUGCCUUAAGAAUACGUUGAUUCUUUGGUGCUAGCAUAUGAUCUUCUUGGCUCUGUCUGAGGACAAGAUCUAUACUUCUCAGUCCAGAGACUUUAUCUGGUUCUACUGCUAAGAACCCAAUGCAAAUAAGAAAGACAAGCACUCUUGGAGCACUAAAAACCAUGGUUUCUACACCAAAGAAACAAGAAGAUAGAAGUAUUUUCUUUCUCUUUAGAGUAAUAAGAGAAUAAGAAGGUCUGAGAUUGUGAUCCUUCUAUUCUUAUAAAACAUUCCUGUAGAUAUAUGCAUGUAAUUUAUCUCUUAUGGGAUCUGGAGGAGGCUUUAAAGCAUAAAGCAGGGAGGGCCCCAAAACACCUAGAGGAGUUUUAGAUUCAUCCCAAUCAUAAGCCUGCAAUCUAAGCAAAUUAAGGCUGUUAUAGAAGAAUCUUGUAAUGAUGGAUAAAGGGGUUGGAACAAGACCCUUGAGAAGCUAAGUAUCUUUUUCAUCAGUUCCCUACGUCCCUAUCAUAUGUGCUGCUUUUGUCUAUUUAACACUUGCCCAAUCCAGUUCUUGUAAGCCUAACCAUCUUGCCAUGUCACCAGACCAUGCUUAUGUGUGCAUGCGGGGGAGAAUGAUGUAUAUUUGCCUAGGGAAUAUUAUGGGUAACUUGAAAUUAUUUGUUUUAGUUUUCUUUUGGUUUCAUAAAACUAAAAUUCUUCAUGCUUCUUUGUG